GGCGCUAUGGCCUAAUGGUAUGGCAUCAGUCUACGAAACUGGGGAUUCCGGGUUCGAACCCCGGUAGCGUCU
rnacentral:tRNA from 1 species